GUCUACGGCCANUACCACGUUGAAAGCACCAGUUCUCGUCCGAUCACUGAAGUUAAGCAACGUCGGGCUCGGUUAGUACUUGGAUGGGUGACCGCCUGGGAACACCGAGUGCGGUAGACU
rfam:Lottia gigantea unplaced genomic scaffold LOTGIsca_8291, whole genome shotgun sequence.